UGGGUAACCUGCCUCAAAGAGGGGAAUAGCCUCCCGAAAAGGGAGCUUAAUACCGCAUAAUAUGUUUUAAUCGCAUGAUUUUAACAUCAAAGGAUUUUCUUAGGAAAUUCCACUUUGAGAUGGACCCGCGGCGCAUUAGCUAGUUGGUGAGGUAACGGCUCACCAAGGCAACGAUGCGUAGCCGACCUGAGAGGGUNAUCGGCCACAUUGGAACUGAGACACGGUCCAGACUCCGUAGGGACGG
rnacentral:rRNA from 1 species